AACAAGGAUUCCCUUAGUAACGGCGAGUGAACCGGGAAAAGCUCAAAUUUGUAAUCUGGCUGUCUUCGAUAGUCCGAGUUGUAAUCUAUAGACGUGUUUUCCGUGCUGGACCGUAUCUAAGUCCCUUGGAACAGGGUAUCAAAGAGGGUGACAAUCCCGUGCUUGAUACGACCACCAGUGCUCUGUGAUACACGCUCUACGAGUCGAGUUGUUUGGGAAUGCAGCUCAAAAUGGGUGGUAAAUUCCAUCUAAAGCUAAAUAUUGGCGAGAGACCGAUAGCGAACAAGUACCGUGAGGGAAAGAUGAAAAGCACUUUGGAAAGAGAGUUAAACAGUACGUGAAAUUGUUGAAAGGGAAACGAUUGAAGUCAGUCGUGUUCUUUGGAUUCAGCUAGUUCUUCUAGUCUACUUCCUUUGAACGGGUCAACAUCAGUUUUGUCCGGUGGAUAAAGAUAGUAGGAAUGUAGCUCCCUCGGGAGUGUUAUAGACUAUUAUUGCAUGCACUGGGUGAGACUGAGGACUGCAGCUCGCCUUUUGGCCGGCCUUCGGGUACGUUCGAGCUUAGGAUGUUGA
rnacentral:rRNA from 1 species